rnacentral:lncRNA from 1 species
UCGCCGGUAAGAUCGGGGAUCCAAUUUGGGGAGUACUAGUCGAGAUUGUUUGGAUCCAUGUUUGAAGAGUUUUAGUGAGACUCUGAGAGGAUGAACACAAAAAUUGAGAUAAUGUGAGAGAGAGAUGAUGAAUAAAAUUGUGUGUGUGAAUUGUGGUGGAGGAAUAGGAUAUUUAUAGAAGAAAAUUACAANAAAAAAAGAAAAAAAAGGAAAAGGUGCAACGGUCCAAUUGGAUAAAAUAGAAAGAAAAAAAAUUCAAACGGCCGAAUUGAAAGUAAGAAGGAAAAGAAAAAAANAAAGAAAAUAGAGUGAAACGGUCGAAUAACAUUCAAAAU